rnacentral:rRNA from 1 species
UACGUGGGGGGCAAGCGUUGUUCGGAAUUACUGGGCGUAAAGGGCUCGUAGGCGGCCAACUAAGUCAGACGUGAAAUCCCUCGGCUUAACCGGGGAACUGCGUCUGAUACUGGAUGGCUUGAGUUUGGGAGAGGGAUGCGGAAUUCCAGGUGUAGCGGUGAAAUGCGUAGAUAUCUGGAGGAACACCGGUGGCGAAGGCGGCAUCCUGGACCAACACUGACGCUGAGUGAGCGAAAGCCAGGGGAGCAAACGGG